rnacentral:piRNA from 1 species
UACAUAUAUAUGAAUAUUCAUAGGUGUGGU